rnacentral:tRNA from 3 species
GCGCCCGUAGCUCAGUUGGAUUAGAGCGUAUGAUUCCGGUUCAUAAGGUCACAGGUUCGAAUCCUGUCGGGCGUA